UGUUCUUAUUUUCGAGUAGAACGUCAUUUUUUAUCGUUUUCUCCGCAGUAGAUAGAUGUGAAAAAUACAUGAUCAGGAUCCAGUACAAGCUAUGUGCACUUCAUGUUGUACGAAAAGAUCAGCUAAUGGAGCAGUUUGACUGUAACGGACGCUUCUCAUCUUGCUGCAAUAGCAGAUUUAAAAAUAUUCAAUAAAACUGUGUGAGAUGUCUUUAUACUUCAAAUGACCUGCGAUUAUGACGGAGGCGUUCGUGGAGCUCAGGGGCUGCGUCAUUAUUAAAGACAUCUUCUGUAUUUGCGGUUUUGCUUAUAAUAUUUAGCUGGUUUUUGUACCGAAUUUAUUGUUGUAUUGUUAUUUCUUUUGUACGCUAUG